UGGGGAAUUUUGGACAAUGGGCGAAAGCCUGAUCCAGCAAUGCCGCGUGUGUGAAGAAGGCCUUCGGGUUGUAAAGCACUUUUGUCCGGAAAGAAAUCCUUGGCUCUAAUACAGUCGGGGGAUGACGGUACCGGAAGAAUAAGCACCGGCUAACUACGUGCCAGCAGCCGCGGUAAUACGUAGGGUGCAAGCGUUAAUCGGAAUUACUGGGCGUAAAGCGUGCGCAGGCGGUUUGCUAAGACCGAUGUGAAAUCCCCGGGCUCAACCUGGGAACUGCAUUGGUGACUGGCAGGCUAGAGUAUGGCAGAGGGGGGUAGAAUUCCACGUGUAGCAGUGAAAUGCGUAGAGAUGUGGAGGAAUACCGAUGGCGAAGGCAGCCCCCUGGGCCAAUACUGACGCUCAUGCACGAAAGCGUGGGGAGCAAAACAGGAUUAGAUACCCUGGUAGUCCACGCCCUAAAACGAUGUCAACUAGUUGUUGGGGAUUCAUUUCCUUAGUAACGUAGCUAACGCGUGAAGUUGACCGCCUGGGGAGUACGGUCGCAAGAUUAAAACUCAAAUGAAUUG
rnacentral:rRNA from 1 species